UACGAAGGGGGCUAGCGUUGCUCGGAGUUACUGGGCGUAAAGCGCGUGCAGGUGGUCGUAUAAGUGGUGCGUGAAAGCUCCCAGGCUAAACCGGGAGAGGGCGUGCCAGACUGUAGGACUAGAGAGAGACAGAGGCAAGGAGAAUUCCGGGUGUAGUGGUGAAAUGCGUAGAGAUCCGGGAGGAAUACCAGAGGCGAAAGG
rnacentral:rRNA from 1 species